CAGGAAUGACCGUGUGCAUGUGUGUACGUGUGUGAAUUUUCGUGUAGGUGCAGAUGCUAAUGUGUAAAUUUGAACUAUGUGUUUGUAUAUGUGGAUAAGAGUGAAAGUUCGAGAAAUGUUCCACACGCAAAUGCACUGGGGCACGAUCGCCUGGUCGGCUAACAGGAAAAUUCAAAUUGAAAAGUGCCUUUCAAGUGAAAAGACGUGCGAGGAAAAGUUUACGCGUGGAAUAUUAGCCAUUUCCGCCAGUUCACAAAAGAAAAAAAAAAGGUUUUGUGCCCCGUUUAACCGGGACCUUUAAUUCCCGCUGCCGAUCCUGCUACCAGAAGGUUGUCGAGCACCAGGAGACACAAGAGUGUUGGAAAACAAAAUUUUGGUGUUAAGCCUUUCUACCACCAAGGCAGCUGGAACGGCGACAAGUGCAUAUGUGAGGUGAACGACCGGGAAUACACAAGGAAUGAAACAAGGAGACCAAUUGCAAUACAUAGCUGAGAGGAGUCUGGAACACAUUUAAUAAAACAUACAUACAUACAUACAUUCCAGAGCGCCGGACUCCACGCGCGGAGUAUCAGAACGCUUCCAGGCGCUCAUGUCACGGCGCUCUGUCGCUCACAAUGGACUGCCAGUGCAUUCAUCGUACACCACGUUAAAUUUACGUUUACCU